AUAAAAAUGUAAACAACGGACUCUGUCUAUGAAACUUUGAAAUGAAUGAAUGACAGUCGAUCUUAGUCUUAAUACUGAUUGACAGUGAAUGCUAAUGACUCCAUGUGUUGCAGGAAGGCUGAUGAGUCUAUUAUUGGAGAUCUACACCUUCUUCGUAACCCAAGUUUGUUCUGAUGUAUGCCAUCAUUUUAGCUGACUCUCACAGUGGUGAACUUUAUAACAGUUGUCAGAAUGGGAACCAGAGCAAUUACCUCAGUGAAAGCCAAGACAUUUUCAUUGUUCAACAAACCAAUGCUAAUCAUGUGACACUUGUUGAGAGUGCAUGUUCAUUCAGCUGUUGGUAAAGGACAAAAAAAAAUGAACACAGAGCAUGGAAGGAAGGCUUGAGAGCAGAGACUUUCAUUAUUUCCAUGCAUGGAAACUGAAAUGAUAACGGUCCUUGUGUAGAGAUCUAGACACUUUGUUCCCAAGGUGAUGUGAAAUGGUGCGAAGUGUUGUGUAUGUCUUUUGCCUUCACUCUACUAAACCACUACUGCAUGGAUCUACAAUAUCUUCAAUUAGUACCGGAACUGUGAUGACACUGAGGAAAUAUUCUACAGUCUUCACCAUGGUUACGGUUGAAUAGGGAUUCCCACAUAGCAAUUGCUGUACAGUGUAAUGCCAGCAUGUAUGUUUUUCUAAGAAAGCAACAGUGUGUUAGCAAGGUGGAAGCUGUGCAUCUGGACAGGAUGUGAGUGGUUGUAUUCCAAUGGCUGUAAACAUGAAAUCACCUGGCCUUGUGUGGAAGAUAUCUAUGAUGGAUCAACCAGAUGUAUACCUCUAAUUUAAAUUCCUGAAAAUCCCUAUGGUUGUGGGUGUGCAUAACAGAAUAUGAGCCAGGAAG